rnacentral:lncRNA from 10 species
UGGGCAUGUCGCCUACUAGGCAGGAAAUUGAAAACAGCUGCUACGGUUUCCAUUUCGUGGGGCAAGAACUUUCAUUUUUCAUUCCAAAUCCCGGCCCUUCCCCUUUCGCCUCUGAAGAAGUGACAGUGGGGUGGUAUUCGUUCCUCCGGGACUCCGACAUGAGCCACUGCUGGGGGCUGGGGGCCGCAGGCUGACCCCCAGAACUCACUCAGCAUCUCCAAACCUCAGUGCCAGAGACCGAUGCUCCAACGCCCAGCCUAGUGCUAGGGUCUAGUACCAACUGGCUCCAACUGUCUGGCCCCUACCACAGACUUUCUGCUCCAGACUCACUGGCUGGACGUGGUCUCACAUCGUCUUUUUCUGUCUCUGUACCUACGCACUCAUCUAGCACCCAGCGGGUCCCCUUAAAUGUCUGUGGAGUAAAAUAAAUAGACCAGGAACCCAUAGCUUCCAUUUGUGAAAUCCCGCACGGAAUAAAACCCAAACGUGGCUGUACCUGCAUGUGUUCUCAAUAAGCCACCAGUAGAAACCACAUGAUAAGAACUUAGUCCCCCAAGACAAACUGGAACUGACUCUCCAGUCUUCUUAAAACGAAUGGCCCCGAGCAAAACUACAACGGCAGAAUAUCCUCUCAGCCUGAGCCAGUAUUUCAGUUUGACUCUUGGCUUUAUUAGAAUGGAUGCAACGUCUCCAACCAAAACCAGAUGUACUUCCUGCUUCCUCUAGAGCAGGCUUCUGACUCAGGUCCAGUGGAGAUGGGAUCACCAUGUUCCAGGACUCCAGGGUAUGCCCACCAUACAACUCAGCCCUCACUGAGGGGCAUCGGAUGGUUCCCACACUCCCCAGCACACAUAACACCAUCAUCCACGUCCCCAGUGGACCCCAGAUGCCGGGCCGCUGCUGUGUGCUGGGCAGUGUUUCUCAGCUGGGAGGGACCGAGUGCUAACAAGACCAGAGCUUCACACACUAGGGCAGGGCUGCCCCAACUCACAGAGAGUGUCAGUGUUGGACUUACGGAGGCAUCCACGCACACAGUCACUCAACACUGGAGGAAGGUGUCCACCUGUGAAUGCUGACCUUCUGUUUGUGUGUGCAUCUGUGUUCUGGCAUUUCUUUAUUUAAAAAAAACAAACCAGCAGAAUCUAUGAAACUGGAAGUGGCCUAUGUGUCUUU